CCUACGGGAGGCAGCAGUGAGGAAUAUUGGUCAAUGGACGAGAGUCUGAACCAGCCAAGUAGCGUGAAGGAUGACUGCCCUAUGGGUUGUAAACUUCUUUUAUAAAGGAAUAAAACGAGGCACGUGUGCCUUUUUGCAUGUACUUUAUGAAUAAGGAUCGGCUAACUCCGUGCCAGCAGCCGCGGUAAUACGGAGGAUCCGAGCGUUAUCCGGAUUUAUUGGGUUUAAAGGGAGCGUAGAUGGGUUGUUAAGUCAGUUGUGAAAGUUUGCGGCUCAACCGUAAAAUUGCAAUUGAUACUGGCAGUCUUGAGUACAGUUGAGGUAGGCGGAAUUCGUGGUGUAGCGGUGAAAUGCUUAGAUAUCACGAAGAACACCGGUUGCGAAGGCAGCUUACUAAACUAUGACUGACAUUGAGGCGCGAAAGUGUGGGUAGCAAACAGGAUUAGAUACCCGAGUAGUC
rnacentral:rRNA from 1 species